rnacentral:rRNA from 1 species
CAUCCUGCGGGAGGCAGCAGUGGGGAAUUUUGGACAAUGGGCGAAAGCCUGAUCCAGCAAUGCCGCGUGAGUGAAGAAGGCCUUCGGGUUGUAAAGCUCUUUUGUCAGGGAAGAAACGGUGAAAGCUAAUAUCUUUUGCUAAUGACGGUACCUGAAGAAUAAGCACCGGCUAACUACGUGCCAGCAGCCGCGGUAAUACGUAGGGUGCAAGCGUUAAUCGGAAUUACUGGGCGUAAAGCGUGCGCAGGCGGUUUUGUAAGUCUGAUGUGAAAUCCCCGGGCUCAACCUGGGAAUUGCAUUGGAGACUGCAAGGCUAGAAUCUGGCAGAGGGGGGUAGAAUUCCACGUGUAGCAGUGAAAUGCGUAGAUAUGUGGAGGAACACCGAUGGCGAAGGCAGCCCCCUGGGUCAAGAUUGACGCUCAUGCACGAAAGCGUGGGGAGCAAACAGGAUUAGAUACCCCUGUAGUCCCAUGA